rfam:Populus trichocarpa scaffold_7_contig_3, whole genome shotgun sequence.
CAAAAGAGAUGAUGAAAUCAGAAAAUCUUAGGACACCUUCUGACACAGUACGAUGUUGUGCUGUGUAUGAGAAAGAUUUUCGUUUCUGAUCAUUUU